CCAGAAUUCACUUUGUAGACCAGGCUGGCCUUCAACUCACAGAGAUCUGCCUGCCUCUGCCUCCUGAGUGCUGGGA
ensembl:miRNA